rnacentral:lncRNA from 12 species
UAAAACCACAGGACUGAGUGGGUGAGAGUUACCAACACAAACCUUCCAUUUUUCCUCUCUUCUCCCAACCCUACCCCAACCAAAUGCCUUCUUCUUCCCCCAGUUAAUAGAAAUAAAUCUCCCUGCAGUAGCCUGGGUGUGAACAGAUGUUCCUUGUGGACGUGAGUGCUGGUGGAGGGCUCGUUGGCUCUCCAGCCCAACACCCUCAGGGUGCUGCUCGGACAGUUCCAUUACCCUCAGAAACAAGAUGAACUCCUCCCUGAGUUAUUGAUUCUCUCCUUCAGAGAGUCCCAACAACUUGAUUCUCUCCUCAUGUCUUUGUUUUCACUCAUUUCCUUUCCAUGUUCCUUUGCCAGAGAUCUGGGAUGGAUUACAAGGCCUCCUUGAAGAUGUACUUGACUGAAGGAACACAGCGACAGGGAAGAGCAGUUUCAUGGUUUUUUUAUGCCAUGCAGUACUGUAUCUGGUAAACUCGAGUCUACAAAGCCCACAGAAAGUAAGGGAAUUCUGAACUAGAAGAGGAUGAACUGGAAGCAGGUUGCUGGAACUGACCAGAGGCACACGGGGGAGCUUCCUUGGCAAAUGACAGUGACCAGAGCCGAAUCAAGCUGUCUCAGCAGGUGGGACAACAGAGAGAGUGCAGGCCCCGGGGCUGCAGCCCUGGCUUCUUAUCUGGCUCUGCUUCUGACCCUUUGUUCCUCUCCACUGUCCGUUGCACCUUUCAGCUGUUCCAUCUCCUUCCAGGCUGCCGGGUGACCACACUGUCCCAGUUGCCUUCCAGCUAUAAAGCCCCAUGAUCGCGAUGGUGCGUCCUUCCCCUGGUGUCUAGUGGAACUGCCUGUAUUUGAAGGGGCCAUUUCAGGGGAGCAAGGAGACCACUGCAGGGGCUCUAGCCCCUGCUCUGCCUGAGGACUCGGCGUGGCAUUGCCUGAACUGCUGCAGCCCAUCCCCAGAUACCAGUGAAGGCAGCAAGCAGGAGAAUUGCCUUUGCCCCCUCAUGAAGCAGGUCUAUUGGCAAGACGGCUUCUUUGGGCACAAGAAGAAUGAGGAGAUGUAAAGCAAGCACAUCAAGCUGCUUUUGAGUGCACUUAAUCGCUGCUCGGACCCGCAACCCCCUUUUGAAAAGCAGAGUUACCUUACUACUAGAGCUCCAUUAUUCUUUUUUUUUUUUUUUUUAAUUUUUAUUUAUUUAUGAUAGUCACACACAGAGAGGGAGAGACACAGGCAGAGGGAGAAGCAGGCUUCAUGCACCAGGAGCCCGACGUGGGAUUCGAUCCUGAGUCUCCAGGAUCGCGCCCUGGGCCAAAGGCAGGCGCCAAACCGCUGCGCCACCCAGGGAUCCCGAGCUCCAUUAUUCUUUAUCACUAACUCUCAACUCCGCUCCAUAUUUCCCUUUGGUGUUCUCCUCCUCACUAUAAACUCAGACUUACACCCCACAUCACAGCUGUGAUGCCAUGGGAAAGCUUCCUGGUGGUGGCCUGAGCUGGCAAAGUGGCUGUAGCUAUGACAGAGAAUGCUUCCAGAACUGGUCUUGUUCUCAGGUGCCUCAAGUGGGUUUCUGGGUUGGGGUUGGAGCUGCUUCUUGACUCCCAGUUGAAGGAGUUUUAGAGUUUCUGGUGUCUUCUCCAGGCUCCCAACCCCUUGGCGUUGGGGCGGCAGAGGCAGCCCCAAGGGGAGACAGUCAGUGUCCCUUCCCCCAGGCCCCCAACUCCCUGGGCAUUACCAGGACCAGUCUGGGCUUCCUGGGACUGAUCAG